GUAGCGGAGUCGGCUCUCUCAGGGUUUUCCAGAGGAUGUCUUUUUCGGAGUUAAGGCAGCGGAGACGUCCCCUGAAAGAGCGGAGUCGACUCUCUCAGAGAAUUCCAGAAGACAUGUUUUUCGGAGUUAUAACAGCGGAGUCGUCCCCAAGGCAGCGGAGUCGUCCCCAUGCAAAAAGUGCAAACAAGCCGAGACGUCCCCGUAAAGUACAGAGACGACCCUCUCAG
rnacentral:lncRNA from 1 species